CAGCAGCCGCGGUAAUACAGAGGCCUCAAGCGUUGUUCGGAUUCAUUGGGCGUAAAGGGUGCGUAGGUGGCUUGGUAAGUUGAAGGUGAAAUCUCGGGGCUUAACCCCGAAACUGCCUUCAAUACUGCUAGGCUCGAGGACUGUAGAGGAGAAUGGAAUUCACGGUGUAGCAGUGAAAUGCGUAGAUAUCGUGAGGAAGACCAGUGGCGAAGGCGAUUCUCUGGGCAGUUCCUGACACUGAGGCACGAAGGCCAGGGGAGCAAACGGGAUUAGAUACCCCGGUAGUCCCUGUCUCUUAUAC
rnacentral:rRNA from 1 species